AAGUCGUAACAAGGUUUCCGUAGGUGAACCUGCGGAAGGAUCAUUAAUGAAAGGAAGGAGCGCUCUUUUUAGAGGUUCCGACCCCAUUAUUCCAUUUACACCCGUGCACACGAGGGAGUGCCGCCUCGAUUGACAAAGUCGACUGGCAAGCGCUUUCCCCGCCCAUUUACUUUAGCUCCUAAAGUUAUUGAGGAUGUAUAUAUUAUAUAAAAUUGAGAACAAAACAAAACUUUCAACAACGGAUCUCUUGGCUCUC
rnacentral:misc_RNA from 1 species